CCAGAAGGAGCGGUCCUCUUCAUCGUUGUUGUUUAUGGAAGCACGAAUUUCUUCGAACAGAGACUUUGACCUAAAGAGACACAUGCAUUAGCAUUGGUUUAAACGAACAACGGACUGGCAUUCGGCAAUAUGGAAAUUUCAUAUUUCAAUAUCACGAUUAUCAUCAAUAUUGCAUGUGGCAAUAAAACCGCAAGUGUCUAAACUAGACACACAAAUCGACAGGCUGUGGAAUCUACAACACUGUGGACAGUCUUGGAUCUUGAUAGAUGAUGACUGGAGCGCAGGCCCGAAGAAGGCCCACUGCUCAGACCGUUUAUGUGAAAACAACUGAACUUUUGCAACCAGC